CAGCAUUCCUCCCUCCCCUUCCCCACUCCCCAGCCCAGUGACAGUCGGUGCCCUUGCCUCCCUGGCUACCAAGAUGUUGGACAGCCGAUGGGCUGUGUCCGGCAGGAACACAGGAGUUGCAAGGAUGGAGCCACCUGGAACCAGGAGGGGCUAUGUUUGACCAAGCGUCAGUGAAAUGACCACUGUGCCUACCAGGAUUUUUUUCCUUCUGGACCGGCUUUCCCCACCAUGUGCUGUGGGCCAUCCCUGCAACUUGGAGCUAGGGCAGAAGUCUGGCCCCCUCUAUGUAGUCAAGAUGGAUGAAAGUUGAAGCUACCAUGUGCAGACCAGGCUG
ensembl:lncRNA